rnacentral:rRNA from 1 species
UACGUAGGGGGCAAGCGUUGUCCGGAAUCAUUGGGCGUAAAGCGCGUGUAGGCGGCCAGAAAAGUCCGCUGUGAAAACUCGAGGCUCAACUUCGAGCUGUCGGUGGAAACUUUCUGGCUAGAGUCCGGAAGAGGAGAAUGGAAUUCCUGGUGUAGCGGUGAAAUGCGCAGAUAUCAGGAAGAACACCGAUGGCGAAGGCAGGUCUCUGGGCCACUACUGACGCUGAGAAGCGAAAGCGUGGGGAGCGAACAGG